rnacentral:lncRNA from 10 species
CUCAUUGUGUCUAGAAAUGUAUUAUGACCUCCAUUUGGCCCUCGUUGUGCCCUUCUUAACUCCAGGAUCUCCAGGAAGUCACUCCGAGUUGGAUUUUAACAGGAAGCUGAGAGUUGACUACAUCCAUGGACCUCCCAGUGUUACAGUCUGGUCGUUAGUUCAAAGAAGAGACAUAAAGUGCUUCCAAAUGGCUCAUCCAUCACACAAUUAUCAAGAACCAAUUAAUGGCAAUGCAACAACACAUUGGAAACCAACCAUCAGGUCUCCCAGAUUGUAUCAAAGACAUGAAACUUACCAAGUCACCACAUCUGGACGGUGAGAUUCAGGACUCUACACCCAUCACAAUUGCCUAAGUGACCACCUGCUUCCUAUUGACCAACUCCUCUUUCUUACCCCUCCGUAAUUUCUGUUUUCUCUCACAUGGUUACAUUUCUUACCUACUAUAUAAACCCUUAAUUCCAGUCCAUCACGGAGAUGGAUUUGAGGCUGAUCUUCCAUUCUCUUUGGCUGCAGCACCUGAAUAAAACCUUGUUCCCGAGCAAU